rnacentral:rRNA from 1 species
GACGAACGCUGGCGGCGUGCCUAAUACAUGCAAGUCGAGCGGACUUCCAAGAAGCUUGCUUUUUGAAAGUUAGCGGCGGACGGGUGAGUAACACGUGGGCAACCUGCCUGCAAGACGGGGAUAACUCCGGGAAACCGGGGCUAAUACCGGAUAAUAUCUUCCUUCGCAUGAAGGAAGGUUGAAAGGCGGCGCAAGCUGCCGCUUGCAGAUGGGCCCGCGGCGCAUUAGCUAGUUGGUGAGGUAACGGCUCACCAAGGCGACGAUGCGUAGCCGACCUGAGAGGGUGAUCGGCCACACUGGGACUGAGACACGGCCCAGACUCCUACGGGAGGCAGCAGUAGGGAAUCUUCCGCAAUGGACGAAAGUCUGACGGAGCAACGCCGCGUGAGCGAAGAAGGUCUUCGGAUCGUAAAGCUCUGUUGUCAGGGAAGAACAAGUACCGUUCGAACAGGGCGGUACCUUGACGGUACCUGACCAGAAAGCCACGGCUAACUACGUG